AGCGAACGCUGGCGGCAGGCCUAACACAUGCAAGUCGAACGAACUCAUCGGAGUUAGUGUCGGCCGGGGGAGUAACCCGAGGGAACGUGCCUUUUUGUUCGGCAUAACUCAGGGACACUUGUACUAAUACCGAAUGUGCCCUUCGGGGGAAAGAUUUAUCGACAUUAGAGCUGCCCGCGUGUCAUGAGCUAGUUGUUGAGGUAACGGAUCACCCCGGCGACGAUCAGUAGCUGGCCCGGGAGGGUGAUUGGCAAGCCGGGAACUGAGAACCGGCCCAGACGCCUAGGGGAGGCAGCAGUAGGGAAUCUUCCGCAAUGGGCGAAAGCCUGACGGAGCAACGCCGCGUGAGUGAUGAAGGUCUUCGGAUCGUAAAACUCUGUUAUUAGGGAAGAACAUAUGUGUAAGUAACUGUGCACACCUUGACGGUACCUAAUCAGAAAGCCACGGCUAACUACGUG
rnacentral:rRNA from 1 species